UAGUAGCAUGCUCAAGACCCGAAGCGGAGUGAUCUAGCCAUGGGCAGGUUGAAGCGGCUGUAAGAGGUCGUGGAGGACCGAACCCACCAGGGUUGAAAACCUGGGGGAUGACCUGUGGUUAGGGGUGAAAGGCCAAUCAAACUCCGUGAUAGCUGGUUCUCCCCGAAAUGCAUUUAGGUGCAGCGUCGCGUGUUUCUUGCCGGAGGUAGAGCACUGGAUAGGCGAUGGGCCUUACCGGGUUACUGACCUUAGCCAAACUCCGAAUGCCGGUAAGUGAGAGCGUGGCAGUGAGACUGUGGGGGAUAAGCUCCAUGGUCGAGAGGGAAACAGCCCAGAGCAUCGACUAAGGCCCCUAAGCGUGCGCUAAGUGGGAAAGGAUGUGGAGUCGCAGAGACAACCAGGAGGUUGGCUUAGAAGCAGCCACCCUUGAAAGAGUGCGUAAUAGCUCACUGGUCUAGUGAUUCCGCGCCGACAAUGUAGCGGGGCUCAAGCGUACCGCCGAAGUCGUGUCAUUGCAGUAU
rnacentral:rRNA from 1 species